rnacentral:rRNA from 1 species
AUUGAACGCUGGCGGCAGGCCUAACACAUGCAAGUCGAGCGAGCGGCGGACGGGUGAGUAAUGUAUGGGGACUGCCCGAUAGAGGGGGAUAACUACUGGAAACGGUAGCUAAUACCGCAUACUAUCGGAUAACCCAUAUGGGAUUAGCUCGUAUGUGGGGUAAUGGAUCACCUCGGCGACGAUCCCUAGCUGGUCUGAGAGGAUGAUCAGCCAAACUGGGAUGGAGACACGGACCAGACUCCUACGGAGGCAGCAGUGGGGAAUAUUGCACAAUGGGCGCAAGCCUGAUGCAGCCAUGCCGCGUGUAUGAAGAAGGCCCUAGGGUUGUAAAGUACUUUCAGUCGGGAGGCGUUACCGACAGAAGAAGCACCGGCUAACUCCGUGCCAGCAGCCGCGGUAAUAC